rnacentral:rRNA from 1 species
CAAUGGCGUAUAUUAAAGUUGUUGCAGUUAAAAAGCUCGUAGUAGGAUUUCUGAUCGAGACAUCAGGUCGGGUCCGAGAGGAUCAUGUACUUUGAUUUUGUUUUGAUCAUCCUUGGGGAGAGCAUUUCUGGCAUUCAGUUGUCGGGAUUGGGAUCCUCAUCGUUUACUGUGAAAAAAUUAGAGUGUUCAAAGCAGGCCUCGGCCUCUGAAUACAUUAGCAUGGAAUAAUAAGAUAGGACUUUGGUGGUCUAUUUUGUUGGUUUGCACGCCAAAGUAAUGAUUAAUAGGGAUAGUUGGGGGUAUUCGUAUUCAAUUGUCAGAGGUGAAAUUCUUGGAUUUAUGGAAGACGAACUACUGCGAAAGCAUUUACCAAGGAUGUUUUCAUUAA